CCGGGCGCCCAGGCGCCCCUUCGCCCCCGCGGUGACGCGCCGCCGAGCCGUGGGAAGGCCCUGGGCGGUCGCCGCCUUCACCGACGGCUGGGAGGUCCGGCCGUGCUCCGCUGUCUCGGCUGCCGCGCGCUGGGUGGCCUUGGGCAGGUGCCCUGGGAAGCCCGGCGGGGAAGCCAGGAGUCCCCGUCUGUCCCUGGGUCACCUGGGCGCUGCUGGCCUGUAGAGGCGCCGCUUUGAUGCCUGGGAUUCCGCAAGGGUCAACCCCGCGCGCUCCUGCCUCCUGGUGUUCUGGAGGCAGCAGACACAUCGUUUGUCGAGGUUUUUAAAAAUGUGACUACUAGAAAAUGUUAAACUGCUUAUUCAGCUCCCAUGAUGUUCCUAUUGGAUGGUACUAAUCUGGUGCAGGAUUUCUUAACCUCGAGACUACUGGCAUUUUGGGCCAGAUCAUUCUGUAUUGUGCAGGGCUGUUCUGUGGAUUGUAGAAUGGGGUCAGGAGAUCCUCUCUGAGGAUGAAUCAUUAUGCAAAGACCCGAAUGGAGAGAGGGAAUCUGAGAAGAUCUGAGGGAAGAGGAUUCCAGGCAGAAGGAACAGCAAGUGGAAAGCCCUGAGCUCCAAGCCACAGUCACAUCUGGAUCACAUCAUGGGGCUUUUAUUCCCAAAUCCAGUCCAAGACCAUGUCAGAAAGCAGAGGAUUCAUUUAUGGCACCAGAGGCUGGGGCUGAUAUACAAGGCCUAGGAAGGAGGGGGUGUUGGGAUGCCGCCCUUCCCCGACCCCUGCCUUUCCCUCAUCUUGGACAUGGGCCACUGGUUAUAAAACAGGGCAAAUAGCCCUGGGACCACUGGCCUUACGGACAUAAUAAAAAUUUUACCAUGAGACUAAGA